rnacentral:rRNA from 1 species
UGCCAGCAGCCGCGGUAAUACGUAGGGGUCGAGCGUUGUCCGGAGUUACUGGGCGUAAAGCGCGUGCAGGUGGCUCAUUACGCCCGGCGUGAAAGCCCCCGGCCUAACCGGGGAGGGUCGUCGGGGACGGGUGAGCUUGAGGGUCGCAGGGGCUGGUGGAAUUCCCGGUGUAGUGGUGAAAUGCGUAGAUAUCGGGAAGAACACCAGUGGCGAAGGCGCUCUGCUGGGCCAUCACUGACGCUCAUGGACGAAAGCCAGGGGAGCGAAAGGGAUUAGAUA